rnacentral:lncRNA from 1 species
ACUCCAGCCUUGAACCCACUGGCGGCCAGGGUGCAGGGAACCGGGUCUAGGCGCUUCAAUUCAAACAAAUCAGAAAGAACCACUCCUCACUGCCCUAUAGAUGGAAGGGUCAGACCCCCAGCCAGCAGGCACAUCUAGCCUCUCCUCCUGGGAGCCUCAAAACUUACCCAUGUGCCAAGUACUUAGGACCUAGCUGUGGGGACACCUGCUCACUGACCAGCACUCAGAGGUGGUUUGAGGGAGACCCAAAGUGAACCCCUUGAUUCUACCCACCCCACCUAUCUCCCCUACUUGUCAAAACCAACACCAGUCAACCUGGCAGAUAAAAAGAAUCAACUUGAGAUACGAGCCAGCAUUAGAACAAAACACAACAUAGGAUUCGGAGCCCUGGCCCCUUGUAUUUCCUAGUUACUUGACACCAGCCACAUCUCUGAACUUCUCUGUGCCUCAGUUUAUUCGUCUCUAAGAUGGGCAGAUGGCCUGUGCUCUGCGGGGUUGAAGGUCAAAUGAUACCCAUGCACUUGGAUAUGUUUAUAUGUUGCAAAACUUUUCAAACAUUCAUCACUUUUCCCCCCAUGAUUUUGCUCCAUCUUUAACCAUCUGGACCAUCAUUUACUUUUUUUCUAUAAAGAGAAUUUAAAUUGAUUUACUUGAAAAAAAUGAGAGCCUUUUAGUCGACAACAAUACCUGAGAAAUCAUGGAUUUGAUGCUCUUGUUAAUUUUUUUCUGAUUACAUGUUGGAACAAAUUUAUAGCUGGUUCAUACACUAUCUGCCUUUGACCCAAAUUAUUUUGUUCCAGAUUUUAGGAAAGAUUGCAUUACUAAAUCCCCCUUUAUGGAGGAGUUUUCUUUGGGGCGGGAGUAACCUGAGCUAAAAUGAUUCAGCAGGACCCCUGAUUUCCCUCACUUGCCUGCCUCCCCCUCCUCAGUAUGCUUCUUUCCCAGCUUACUUUUAAUUCUUCAUAAGUGGAGAACAUGACCUCAUGUCUGGUUUAGGAUCCUAGAGGCGGUAAGCUUUGCUGUGUGGCAGGCGCUGAUGGUGUUUGCUUGAAGGGACUGAUUGAGAAAAGAAAACCAUAAGGAUGGCCCAGGAAACAUUCGGGGGGCAGGGCAGUGGCGAGAAGUUUUGUCAGUGAUGUCAGCAGGAGGGGUUGGGGGAGGAGAGACAAUAAGACACAGUUGACCCGGCAAGAGCCUGUCCUGGGAGCGGGAGCCCUCAGAGCUUGGCCUGGGACCCCAUCCAGCUAGCCUGACCACAGCUGACCGCGGCAGAAUCCGAUUUCUCCCAGAAUGUGUCUCCACCUGCCCUGUGCCAGGGACCCCAUGUCUGGCUCGCUCAUGGGGGUGGGGGCAGUGGCAUGGACCAUCCCAGGCACAAAACACAGCCUGAAAACUCAGCCCCAGCUCCACCAGGAGCUCAGGGUCUGCAGGAGUCGGAGCUGGCAACUUUCCGGGGAGACGGGCCCAGGCAAAGUGACCACUCUCUUCCAGUCCAGGAGCUGUGAGCUGCGUGGAAAGAAUGUGAAUGAAGACACAAUUCUAAAUGUAGAAUCGCGGACGCUAUGUGAGCUGGCUCCCUCAUCGUCCAGAAAAACAAGACCCGCUUGUACGUUCUGCAAGAGCAUAAAUAAAGCUGUCCUCAGGUGGCGUGCUACGGUGUCCCCUCCUUGCGGUGACUUCACUGGCCCCGACUCUCCACAGAACCUCUGGAAAGUUGUGGGAGCAGCCCAGCUGCCUGACAGCGUGGGUGAAAAUGGUCUUGCUCUUGUCUGGACAAGCGCGAUGCUCGCUAACUUAAUUUUGCAGCAGAUCUGCUCUGUUUUGCAUCCAUAUUAAUUAGAAACAUUCCAAAGCUGAUAAGGAGGGCAAGGUGAAUAGAUCAUUCAGGCCAGUUUCCAGUUCUGUUUGAAGUUCACUUCCCUGCAAAUAACAUGAGGCAACUCCCUUGAUUCUUUCACUCUUGCAACAUUGUUAUAUUGAAAUGCUUGUCAGAGGUCCCUUCACUAGUGCUUGACCUUUAGAAGUCGUUUCCAUAAGGGUCUUCAGGAGAUUGGUGCAUUUCCCAGGCUUAAUAAUACUAAUAACAAUAAAAUAGUAAUGCUGGUGGACACAUAUGAAACCUUUAUUCCAUGCCCCGCCCUGUUCUGUGUCCUUAUGCAAAUUAACCAACACACUGUACACUCUAUGUCAGGGCCCAGCACCUGUUUUGUUCUAUCCCUAAGAACUGCUACUUGUCAGGGAGCUAGAGUAAGAUGAGAUGGGGAACGGAUUUUUCCUGAGCACCCAUGAUGGGCCAGGCAGUGUCUACCUUCUUUGACUGAAUCAUCUCUAUGUGUGAUGACCGUUCAUGAGCCCACUUUCCAGAUGAGGAAACUGAGGCUUGCAGAGGCCCUGGAUGUCAUGCAGUUAGUGGUGGCAGAUGCAGAUAUGGGCUGGUCCUCCAGCCUGUCUGGCCUGUACGUUUCUGUUGCACCCUCCCUAGCGAACCGCUCUCCCAGCCCAAGUCCCCGGAACACGGCCUCCUUCCAUCCACCUGUUCUCCCUGCCUCUCUCUGGGGAGAGAGUGGAGUCUGGCCAGGAUACCUCCUUAGCUACUGAUUUGUUAUGGAAACCGAGGGGUUUCUGCACCUGAGCGUGAGCACAGUGGACGUGUGUCCUCGGGGGUGACGGAAGAUGGCACUUCUCCACCUGCUGAGGGCCUGAUUAAUCAGACCCCCUCUUCAGAUGAUUUCCUUACCAGAAACUCUGAGUUGGUGCCUUUGUGAAGAGAUGUUACAUGGUUAUGCACAUCCAGCACCAAGCUCAGAGGGCCUGGAUUUAUUUAGGGGGCCCUGUUUGCAGCUCAUGGCUGGGAAACAGCCCACUGGCCCAGGUCACUGAGGCCCCUUCCCUAGGGCUGCUCCUUGCCCAGUCUGAUCAAGCUAGUGCCAGAUUGGUGGCUGUCAAAGUCAGUUGAGGGCUAGCAGGGCCGAGGACUCUUCUUAAGGCUUUCCCUCAGGGCUCUUGGUUUAGGGCUUUAUAAUGAAAGAUUUAAAUGAAAGAAACAGAAACUGUGCUGUGAAGUAAAGAAAAUUCUCUUAAUUCAAAUUCUACCAAACACCAACAAAGUCAUAGCGACCAGCUGGUAGCUUGGCCACCAGUGCCUCUGAAGUCUUCAUAAGUCCUCUCUCUACAUGGAAGGAUCUGGAAAUCCAGAGUCUGGAGGAGCUGGGGAGGCUGUGCUCUCUCGGCUGCAGGACCGGCUGACAAACUUUUGCUGUAAAAUUCUAGAGAGUAAGCGUUUUCAGCUUUGUGGGUCAGGUCCUCUUUGUCAUUGUCAUGAUUGCUCCACUUGGUCAUGGAAAGCUGUCAGUGACGCUCUGUAGAUGAAGAGACAGGGCUGCGUUUCCUAUCAAAUCCAUCAAAUAUUAUUUACUUGUUUACAUAUAUUUGAUUUUUUUUUUUUUGUCUUUUUAGGGCUGCGCCCACAGCAUAGGGAGGUUCUCAGGCUAGGAGUUAAAUAAGAGCUGCAGAUGCUGGCCUAUGCCACAGUCACAGCAACACAGGAUCUGAGCCGCAUCUGUGACCUGCACCACAGCUCACGGCAACGCCGGAUCCUUAACCCACUGAGCGAGGCCAGGGGUCGAACCUGCAUCCUCAUGGAUACUAGUCCAUUUCGUUAACCACUGAACCACAAUGGGAACUCCAAGGACACAGAUAUUUGAAUUUCACAUCAUUUUCACAUAUCACAAAAUACCCUAGUUUUGCCCCCUUGGACUAUUUAAAUAUGCGAAAACCAUGUUUAGUUUACGCAGUUAUACAAAAACAGGGAAGGGAUGGGUUUGGUUCACAGGCCAUAGUACGCCCACCUAGAGCCCCUCCAUUCACUUCAGCCACCUCCAAGCCCAUGUGGCUAAUGAGUGCUUGAACCUAGCUGGUCUGAAUUGAGACCAGCUGUAAAUGUAAAAUACCCACUGGGUUUCCUUAGUACAAAAGGAAAAGAACACAAAAUAUCUGCUUAGUGAUAUUCUGUGUUGAAUAUUGUAUUGAAUCUGUGUUGAAAUGAUAACACUUUGACUAUUUUUGGCUUGUAUAAAAAAUGUACUAUUAAGAUUGCUACGUUUUUCUUCUUGUUACUUUUUUCAUGGUACUGGCAAAUUUAAAAUGACACACGUACUUCUCUUGGACAGCGCUGGGCUGGCUCUUUUCGUCACAAACCCUCUCCGUCAUUGCUCAGUGUCCAUGAGGCCACUCUGUUCCUGGGAUCGCGGCUGAUGUGCUCAUGGUGGAAAUGCCUCAGCUUCUCCAUCGUCAUCCGCCCUGAGUUCAGAUGGGAGUUUUGUCUUCUUAGAACCCUAGGAUUGUUAUGCCUAUUUGCUGCUAGCAUUAUCCGUAAAAAAUUGGAUUAAGAAGUUAAAAUAUCCACUAAGGAAAAAAGCUCCUUUUAGCUACCUUUUUUUUUUCAAGCACCUACGUGAAACGCUGGGUUGGCUGUCUUGUAUGCGGUGUGUAUUUUGAUCCUCACAACCACCCUGGGAGGAAGCCAUGCCGAUCUCUAUUUCCAGAUUCAGAAAAAGGUCAAAGAGGUGAAAACUCUUGCCCCAAAUUAUGUAAUUGGCUGCAGAGCUUGUCUGAAAGUCAGCUUUUUUUUUUUUUUUUUCUUUCCCCGGUGCGUAAUCAUUAAAAAGCCGUGGAAGCAGGGCCUUCUGAAAGGAUUGCCUCUCCCUACAGCACAGAGAGGCGCUGGAGGGAUCACACAGAGCAGCCCGGCUGUGCGGGAAGAGGAACUCAAGGCAGGCCUGGAGUGCAAAGCCCAUGUGAGCUCUCUUGCUAUUCUGCACCCCUAGCAUUGCCUGCUCCCAUCCCCCUGCAGCACCAGGAAAAUAAGGCUUUGAUUUGUCUUACAUCCACUUCUGGCACAGUGGUAGUAUGAUCGUUUUGACCACAGAGAAGGAGCAAGGUAAGAAUCGCUACUUAGACACUGGCUCCAGCCACACUUGUCUCCUUUCUCCUUUUCGUGCACGUACCUCUGUCCUGCCCCAGGGCCUUUGCAGCUGCUGGCCCUCUGCCUCUAUAUUUACAUGGCUGCUUCCUUCUCCCCACUCAAAAGUCAGCUCAAGGGUCACUUCCUCAGAGAGAGCAUUCCUGAUUGUUCCAUCUCAAGACUCUUGGCCUCUAUCAUGCCACCUUAUUUCUAUCUUUCGUGGCACUGAUCACUAAGAGGCAUCCUCUCACUUCUUUGGUCCUGGGUUUAUGCUCUGUCUGCAUCCUCCCCAGAAUGCAAGCUCCAAGAAGGCGUUCACUUUGCCUUGCUCCCCUCCUCACGACUAUGUGCUAAUGAGCGAAGGUGGCAGCUCUGGAGGUGAGGGGGCUUUUGACUGACUCACACCUUUCCCCACCAUUCUGGACUCAGGGUGCUGGGCUUUUCUCCCAGCAAUGGUUCUCCAAUACCCUGGAGGUCAGGUGGCAACACAGAUUUCUGGGGCCCUCCCUCACAAUGCGCAUUUCUAACAAGUUUCUGGGUGAUGCUUACACUGUUGGUCCAGGACUGCGCUUGGAGAGGAAAGCACUCCGGGUGUGGAUGAGCAGGGCUGGCUUCUCCCUUUCCCUAUUGUUACAGGUGAUUCCCUGGGAGCUGCUGCUCAAGAGCUGCUUUCUAUUCACAUGGAUUCAAUAAAUGUCUACUGAGUACUCUCUGUGUAUCAGGCACUCCUGGGUGGCAUCUCCCUCAUCCUCUCCCUUCAUCCUCACUGCAUCUCCGAGCCAGCUUUAUAGGUAAGACAAUGGAGGCAGGUGAAGUUAAAUACAUGGCCAAGGUCACAGAACCAGGAGAAGGUGAGGCUGGUGCUUGGGUUCAGGGAUUCACUCAGCCCAGGGAAGUCACCCAUCAUCCUGCCCUGCUGCCUCUCCAAGGUCUUGCCUCCUUGAAGGCUUUGGUGUGGCUCACAGGUGCCAGGUAGAUCCACUUCUACUUCUUAUCUGUGGGAUGCUUGGCAGAGCCACACAGAACUUCUGGAGGCACAGCCAGGAGAGUCUGAUUAGCGGAGCAGCCAAGAUAGUAGAUUUUGGCUUCAGGGAGGUAAGCGUUCUGUUCCUGGGUCAGCAGUUGUGUGACUUUAUGCAUGUGAUUUGAUUCCUUCAAACUUUCAUUUGCUACUCACUUCACAUGACUUGUAAAUAUUAAAGGCGUUGAGACAAGUGUUUAGUCCACGGAGCUGCACAUGGAGGGGUUCAGCAGGUCACUGAAGCUGUUCUAAUUUAAUUGCCUGGGAUCUAUCCUACUCCUGGGUUGGGUAGGAGGGCUAGUGCAGGUCUGCAAUGAUUGAAAAACCUUGGAGCUUAGAGCUAAUGAGGUGGUGAGAGGUGGAGCAGGAAACUGGGUUCCUUCCCUCUGGUGGGGUACCACGUGGCUGUAGAAAGGGACAAAGGACAUCUCUCCAGCCUUGUAAGGGGCAAUUCCCAGGGCAAAGGUGAGGAACACAGUAUCUCAUGUUAUGUUACCAUUGUAUUAGGCAGGAGAGGACAGAAAUUUGUGGGCGCUGAGAUUUUUUUUCUUCUUUUUUUGUGGCCGCACCCAUGGCCUAUGAAAGUUCCCCGGCUAGGAUUGAAUUGGAGCUGCAGCUGCUGGCCUACACCACAGCCACAGCAACAUCAGACUUGUGCUGCAUCUGUGAUCUACACACAGGUCACGGCAUUACCGGAUUCUUAACCCACUAAGUGAAGCCAGGGAUUGAACCUGAUCCUCAUAGACACUACAUUGGGUUCUUAACCUGGUGAGCCACAGUGGGAACUCCUAUGUAUUUGCUUAUAUUAAAAACAAAACCUUAAAUAAAUAAAGCCCAAACUGAAAUGGGGACCUCUGGGGACGGAGGGCACAGGUGUAGGAAUGGGACUAGGAGCUAGACCUCCCUGAGCCUGCCUUGUUUGUUAGAUUUGAGGUGGAGCCAUGCAAAGACCUUAUAGAACUAGCAAACUAAAUCAAAUCAAAACUUAAAAAAAGGCAGUCUCAGAGUUCCCAUAGUGUGCAGUGGAAACAGAUCUGACUAGGAACCAUGAGGUUUCAGGUUCGAUCUCUGGCCUCGCUCAGUAGGUUAAGGAUCCCUUGUUGCCCGGAGCUAUGGUGUAGGUUGCAGACAUGGCUUGGAUCUGAUGUUGCUGUGGCUGUGAUGUAGGCUGGCAGCUGUAGCUUCCAUUUGACCCCUAGUCUGGGAACUUCCAUAU